AUAGUUGUGAUGAAAAGAAGGUAGAAGAGCCUCCGUGAGAAAUAUAUUCGCGGAAUAAAUGCGCUAUCACAAGCUUAAGUUCAGAAUCAGCACCGACUGCAGUUCCACCAUGGCCGUACUUUUAAGCAACAAAGUUUUUGAAAACACAUCCGCAAAAGAAGCAAAAAUCGAUCGGAUCUCAUGUGGAUAGUUCCGGCCAAGGUGCUAUACUAUAGGUGGACCGCAAUGUCAAAAUUGCUGUUCGGCCAUUGCUCGUGAAAAAACAAAUUUGUUUACAAAACAUAUCAUAUCUUUUGGUGACAAAUUCAUUCGUCGGCAAAAUAGCUGCUCGCGCUUUACUGUAGAUAUCUACAAUCAGCGGUCGAAUUAAAAACAGUGCAGAAGGAUGUUUUGAGUAUGUUUUAGCUUCUAGCCGCGCAAUCAAUGCUUUUUUUCCAAGCAAGAUGUACUUCUGUUUGGAUCCUAUCGGCGGGGAAAAAAGUACUUACGGCGACGGUGACAAGAAAUAGCGCUGAUUGCGAGAUUACCAGAUCCAGAAGAUCCGGAAGGGCUGUUACAAGUAAUUGGUUUUGCUAGAGCAAAAGGAGGUUGACAAUGAUUGCAACAGGUGAAAUAAACUGUUGGAAUCACGACUAUCGAUCACGCCAGAAGAUCCGGAAAGAGUUGUUGAAAGUAAUUGGCCACAGAAAAGUAUCCAUUUAUGAAGUCUAUCUCCAUCUCGGGGGAAAGUGUGGUAAACCAUGUCCGGGUUGUUUUUCGUUAUGCGGACCUUGUUUCCGCAUCCUUUUACUGCACAAUAAUACGGCAUCUGAAGAAAAUAAGAUAUUCACAAUAUAAUUUUGGCAUGAUAGAGAACCGCGAGAUGAACGAUUAUCUGUGGAGGAGUUGGACAACAGAUUUCUUAGACUUAUAGCACUUUAAUCACACUCACAAGCUCUUCAAAUCCUCACUGUCCCCCAAAACUAUUGAAUAAUAUUUGUUUUCCUCAGCGAGUUGAUAUGAAACCAUAACGACACAACCAAACAAAAAGUAAACAAUGCAGAAAGCUACGUCUCGCAACUCGUCUCACGUAUUGUCAUGAAAGUGUCAAGAACGAAACACCUAUAGUUUAGCAUCUUGGUUCCGGCGAAGUAUCUUGUGCGCUGAAUACUGUUCUGGUUGCCAGGGGGAAAGCGAAACUCCAAGGAAGAGAAACAAAGGGUAGCACAAAGCUUUUGAUUUUCGUUCGGUUCAUAGUGAAAACAAUAUGUGUAGUAGAAUCUACGAGACAUGAUGCCCUCGCAAAAUACCUUUGCGAAUUGAUGGAGAAGAUGCCGAUAUCGACCCUCUACAGCCCAACCCCGCCUUUAGAAGGGCUUCACGGAUUUUCUUUUCAAAUUAUUCAAAUUAUUGAAAUUGGUUUUAUGCUGACAGCUUUCUGCUAGGAGUAUUUUAUGUUGAAAGUCGGAAAUUCGAGAUAUAGGUGGAAUGGGUUUUUUAGACGAAUAAAAAAUUUGGGUCUUAGAGGGUUGAACCAUUGGAAGCUGAGUUUUUGGACUGAUGGCUCACCGAUUUUAUCGACUCAAUGCAAAUGCUAA